GUGAACGCUGGCGGUAGGCCUAACACAUGCAAGUCGCACGGCAGCACAGUAAGAGCUUGCUCUUACGGGUGGCGAGUGGCGGACGGGUGAGGAAUACAUCGGAAUCUACUUUUUCGUGGGGGAUAACGUAGGGAAACUUACGCUAAUACCGCAUACGACCUACGGGUGAAAGCAGGGGAUCUUCGGACCUUGCGCGAUUGAAUGAGCCGAUGUCGGAUUAGCUAGUUGGCGGGGUAAAGGCCCACCGAGGCGACGAUCCGUAGCUGGUCUGAGAGGAUGAUCAGCCACACUGGAACUGAGACACGGUCCAGACUCCUACGGGAGGCAGCAGUGGGGAAUAUUGGACAAUGGGCGCAAGCCUGAUCCAGCCAUACCGCGUGGGUGAAGAAGGCCUUCGGGUUGUAAAGCCCUUUUGUUGGGAAAGAAAAGCAGCAGGUUAAUACCCCGCUGUUCUGACGGUACCCAAAGAAUAAGCACCGGCUAACUUCGUG
rnacentral:rRNA from 1 species